UUCGACCGCGGCUCUAGCCUUGCCAGUCUGACAGCAGCGACGGAGACAGGAAAAAUCGUGUGAGAACCGUGGACGGCAAAUUUCGUAAAAUUACCACCAAAAAAUCUGUGAUCAAUUAUAGCGCGUUCAUUCUUCCACUGGUGUUUGCUGUUUUCUUCUCUGCCGCCCCGGUGCCUAUCUCUGCUGUGUUCCUCUCUAGUGUCCUAGUGUUUAAAGUAAUUCGUGUAUAUAGAGCUGUUUGUGUGCGUGAAUUUGUGCGUGUGCUUCUUGAGCAACGAUAGCGAGUCGUCGUGUGUGGCAGCGGUGGUGACGUUUCGAGUGUCAUCUACUGUUGUGUGUGUGUUUCCGUGCUUAAAACCCCGGAAGGACACUCUUAAGGAAUAUUCCCGGUACAGCCAGCAAAAUCAAGUGUAAAAUUCCAUCAUCACCACCAACACCACCAUCAUCACGAAACCAAAUCCAACCUUCGCGCCCAGGAAGGAACUCUGGAUUUGAUCGAAUUCCAUCCGUCCAUACGAAAAUUGGACACUCUGUCUAUGAUGGCUCUCAACAUUGCUGUGCCGAUGUCGGGCGUAGGUGACCUCCUGGAGGAUUCGGACUGCUUUCGCCGAUUUCUCCCGUGAGCAUCGACUUUCGCAGCAGCAUCAAGAACCCGCUGUCACCAGUUGGUAGCGAAUCCAGCGGCGUAAGUUCGUUGGAUUUGGAAGAUAUCAAG